UGAAAGUUAGAGUGUUUAAAUAAGAUGAGUUGAUGUAUCUGAAUAUGUAUAUUGUUAGCCGAGGGUAAAGUUUUCUUUUUUUUCUUUUGUUCGUGAGAAAAUUUGUGGUAGUGGGGUUUUUUUUAAGUUUGAAAUUGAAUGGGGUUUGUUUAAUUAUCUUGUUCUAAGUCACCUAAUUUUUGUGUGUUUGUAUGUUUGAUGUCUAAUUUUGAGGGCAAUUUUUCUUUAGUGUGAUUGUUGACAAUUAAGUUGUUUGGGCUCUCACUUUCGAUAUCGUACAUGUUACUUUUGAAGAAUCAGACAUGCAUCAGUUGACAUUAUUGAAGAGUUCAAGCAACAUAAGUUGACAAUACUCUGUUAUUUUAAUUCUCUAGAAUUUGGUAUACUAAAUAUUUUCGUGUAGAAUAUAGUAGGAUAUAGUUGUGUGAGUGAGAAGGUUGACA
rnacentral:misc_RNA from 1 species